UACGGAGGGUGCGAGCGUUGUCCGGAAUCAUUGGGCGUAAAGGGCGCGUAGGUGGCCCGGUCAGUUCGUGGUGAAAGCGCGGGGCUCAACCCUGCGUCGGCCAUGAAUACUGCCGCGGCUGGAGCACUGUAGAGGCAGGCGGAAUUCCGGGUGUAGCGGUGGAAUGCGUAGAGAUCCGGAAGAACACCGGUGGCGAAGGCGGGUC
rnacentral:rRNA from 1 species